UACGAUCAUAAGACAUGGAAACACCGGAUCUCGUAUGUCCACUGAAGUUAAGCAAAGUCGAGCCUGGUCAGUACCUUGAUGGGUGACCGCUUGGGAAUAUCAGGUGUUAU